UAAAAAAUGAGUCUUAGUGAAAAUUAGAUACACAUCAAAAACAAGUUAUUAACAAGAGAUCAAAACAAAAUACAUUGUAAAAAAUGGUUUUCUUGGUUUCAUUAAACCAUUAAUAUUCUUUAUUCUCUCUUCUUUCCAGGCAACCUCUUUAUUUUCAGGUUAUAUCUGGCGGCUGAUAAAGAUUAUUUAGGCUUGAUCUGGAGGCGGCUCUUCCCAAUGUGUCAAACAAUGCAGAUCGGGGCCGUACAAAUUCGUAACACUUGAGCUCAACCGCGAGAGGAAUCUUGUGCCCAAUGUAUUAAGAGUACAAUGUCUUUGGGAAUUAUACCAGGUGUAGAGGUUCCUGGUUUAUUACACCGAUAGGCCAACAAUCGAUACCUCAACAAUUACCUGCUGUCAUCAAGAGAGAUUGAUCGCUAAGCUAGAAGAAGCAAGAAGCUAAACUUUGCCACAACAAAAAGAAUUGUUUUAACAAAUAAAUACAUAACAAGUGUUUUAUUGAAGCCUUAACCACCAGUGCCUUGUUAGCAACACAAAAAGUCAAACAAUGCAGAUCGUCGACGAACCCUGAGUGGAAUUCUGUACCCAAUGUGGCAAGGCGCCAAUUCAAUGUUGCAAUACGAAGUAGUGAACGGCUUUCAACGAAUGUACAGUACGAUAAGUGGUGCAACAAACUGCACAUGAUCCCAUUCCAAAUAAGUGGAUACAAUUCUUACUUAAGCAACACAUUUAGAAAUAGUAUGAUGAUAAAUAUGAUAUUUUAAAAUUCAAUAGAUUGCAAGUAAAGAUAUAAAACUA